GGGUCGUUAGCUCAGUUGGUAGAGCAGUUGACUUUUAAUCAAUUGGUCGCAGGUUCGAAUCCUGCACG
rnacentral:tRNA from 71 species